rnacentral:rRNA from 1 species
AGAGAGAGACAUGCGCGCAUAUCAAUAAGCGGAGGAAAAGAAACUAACAAGGAUUCCCCUAGUAACGGCGAGUGAAGCGGGAAGAGCUCAAAUUUGAAAUCUUAAAGGGUUUCCCUUUACGAAUUGUAGUUUAAAGAAGUGUUUUCUGUUGAGGUUUUGGUAAAAGUUCUUUGGAAUAGGACAUCAUAGAGGGUGAGAAUCCCGUAUUUGACCUUUACUUUCAACUUUGUGAUACACUUUCAAAGAGUCGGAUUGUUUGGGAAUGCAGUCCAAAAUGGGUGGUAAAUUUCAUCUAAAGCUAAAUAUUGGCGAGAGACCGAUAGCGAACAAGUAUCGUGAGGGAAAGAUGAAAAGAACUUUGAAAAGAGAGUUAAACAGUACGUGAAAUUGUCAAAAGGGAAGCGUUUGACACCAGUGUUGUUUUUCUGAAAAUCAAUUAAAGAACUGUUUAUGCUAAGUUGUUUAGACUUUAUCAGCUAACUGUUUAGUUUUGAGCUUUUCUUUAAUGCACUUUUCAGUUAACAAGUCAACAUCAAUUUCUUUUGCUGUAAAAAAGCUUGAGGAAGGUGGCUUGAGAUUCGUCUUAAGUGUUUAUAGCCUCUUGCCUAUGCAGUCGGAGAGAUUGAGGUCUGCAGCGUAGAUCCUUCGGGGCUAAAUGCAUUUGUGCUAAGUUAUAGCAUUUUAUAGACAACUUGUUGACUAUGAUUUGUCUUGUAGCUUACUCGCUUAUGCUAUUUUACCUACGCUUAGGAUGUUGACGCAUGAGAUAUACGC